AUUUUUAAAAAUAAUCAUGUUGAAACACCCGAUCCCAUCCUGAAUUCGAUGUGUGAAAAUUUUUCAAAUCUCAUAAUACUCUAAAACUAUUUAGGGGAACAUGAGAACAAUUU
rnacentral:rRNA from 1 species